rnacentral:rRNA from 1 species
GAUGAACGCUAGCGGCAGGCUUAAUACAUGCAAGUCGAGGGGCAGCACGGCAGCAAUGCUGGUGGCGACCGGCGCACGGGUGCGUAACGCGUAUGCAACCUACCUUUGACAGUGGGAUAGCCCCGAGAAAUCGGGAUUAAUACCGCAUAACAAUGGGUUCUGGCAUCGGGAUUCAUUUAAAACUCCGGUGGUCAAAGAUGGGCAUGCGUGACAUUAGCUAGUUGGUAGGGUAACGGCCUACCAAGGCGACGAUGUCUAGGGGUUCUGAGAGGAUGAUCCCCCANACUGGUACUGAGACACGGACCAGACUCCUACGGGAGGCAGCAGUAAGGAAUAUGGUCAAUGGGCGCAAGGCCUGAACUAGCCAUGCCGCGUGCAGGAAGACGGCCUUAUGGGUUGUAAACUGCUUUUAUAAGGGAUAAACCCAGUUCAGAGCGUGGUUGAAGGUACCUUAUGAAUAAG